CCCUUGAAAAUGGAGGAAAUAAUCCCAACUACACAAAUUUGCAAAAGUCAAAUCAUACUCCAGUAACCCAACAGCUUUUCACAAUGAGAUGACUGGCUCAGUGAAUGGAGAGCAGUGGAUGCUGUUUAUUUUGCAAGGCUCUUGACAUAGUCUCCUGUAACACCCUCAAGACAAAAUGUUGAAGUACAGAUUAGAUAAGUGGACAGUGAGAUGGACUGAAAACUGGCUGAACUGCUGAGCUUAGAGGGUGAAGAUCAGCAGCUCGAAGUCCAGCUGGAGGCCAGUUGCCACUGGGGUUGAUACUGGGCCAGUACUGUUAAUUCUCUUCAUCUGGAAAAUGGGACCAAAUGCACCCUCAGCAUGUUUGCAGAUGAUAAAGAACUGGGAGUGAUGCAAGAGCUAUGAUGUCCUUGUGGCAGAGGUGGCCAGCAGCCUCCUGGGCUGCAUCAGGCUGAGUGUUGCCAGCAGGUCAGGGCAGGUGACUCUGUCCCUCUGUUCAACCCUGGCGAGACACCUCUGGAGUGCCGUGCUCAGCUCUGGGCUCCCCAGUGCAAGACAGACAUGGACCUGCUGGAAGAAGUCCUAGAAAAAGGAGGGGAGAGGGGAGUAAGGAAGAUGGGCCAGAAAUUUCCCAUGGUGGUGCCCAGUGACACCACCAGACAGGUGACCAGGCACCAGCAUCUUGCUUCCAUCACUUCUCUCUGACAGUGUUUAAGCCCUACUGAACAGCAGCCCAUGGAAGGCAAUGAGUGGGCAGAUUAUCUACUAAAACAGUUUGGUGCUGGAUGAGAUUGCUUCUGGGAUGCUUCUGUAGCUUUUGGCUCUGGCUAAAUAGCAAGAGAGCUCCCAAUAGCAGGAGUCAUAUGACAUGCUCUUGUGCACUUGUGAAUGGAAAAUCAUAUGUCUUCACAAGUCACAGGAAUAUAAAGACCAGAUGUGAUGUUCUGAGCUCCCACAUAUUCACAUGAGAAUGGGCCAAGGCUAGCAAAGAAAUAUGAAAGGAGAAUUAUCUGCACUAUGUGUUUUACUUUGCUUUAAUACUGAAUGUAAGUGGAGAAGGGAAAAAAUAUAAAUAAAAGAGAAU